AUUGAACGCUGGCGGCAGGCCUAACACAUGCAAGUCGAACGAGUGGCGGACGGGUGAGUAAUGUCUGGGAAACUGCCUGUUGGAGGGGGAUAACUACUGGAAACGGUAGCUAAUACCGCAUACCAUCGGAUGUGCCCAGAUGGGAUUAGCGAGUAGGUGGGGUAAAGGCUCACCUAGGGGACGAUCCCUAGCUGUGCUGAGAGGAUGAAGAGCCACACUGGAACUGAGACACGGUCCAAACUCCAAGGGAAGGCACCAGGGGGGAACUUUCGACAUGGGGGGCAAGCCGAAGGCAGCCAUGCCGCGGGUAGAAAGCAGGCCUCCGGGUUGUAAAGUACUUUCAGCGGGGCGGCGGUACCCGAAUAAGAAGCACCGGCUAACUCCGUGCCAGCAGCCGCGGUAAUAC
rnacentral:rRNA from 1 species